rnacentral:rRNA from 1 species
UACGUAGGGUGCGAGCGUUGCCCGGAUUUAUUGGGCGUAAAGGGCGCGUAGGCGGUCACGCACGUCCGUUGUGAAAUCGCUCGGCUCAACUGGGCGGGGUCAGCGGAUACGGCGUGGCUGGAGCAAGCUAGGGGGCAAUGGAAUUCCCGGUGUAGUGGUGGAAUGCGUAGAUAUCGGGAGGAACACCAGUGGCGAAGGCGGUUGCCUGGAGCUUUGCUGACGCUGAUGCGCGAAAGCGGUGGGGAGCGAUCCGG